UACGGGGGGGGCAAGCGUUGUUCGGAAUUACUGGGCGUAAAGGGCUCGUAGGUGGCCAACUAAGUCAGACGUGAAAUCCCUCGGCUUAACCGGGGAACUGCAUCUGAUACUGGAUGGCUUGAGAUUGGGAGAGGGAUGCGGAAUUCCAGGUGUAGCGGUGAAAUGCGUAGAUAUCAGGAGGAACGCCGGCGGCGAAAGCGACUCUCUGGCCUGUAACUGACGCUGAGGCGCGAAAGCUAGGGGAGCAAACGGG
rnacentral:rRNA from 1 species